rnacentral:rRNA from 2 species
UUUUAAAUAAGUAAGAGUUUGUGGUGGAUGCCUUGGGUCUGGAAGUCGAUGAAGGACGUGAUUACCUGCGAUAAGCCUCGUGGAGCUGGAUAUAAGCUACGAAACGGGGAUUUCCGAAUGGGGGAACCUAGCUAGGGUAAUGCCUAGUUGCCAUCUUCUGAAUACAUAGGAAUUUGAGCGAGACACCAUGUGAACUGAAACAUCUUAGUAGCAUGAGGAAAAGAAAAUAAACAAUGAUUUUUUUAGUAGCGGCGAGCGAACGAGAAAGAGCCCAAACCACAUUAGUGGGGUUGUAGGACAAUCUAUACAGAGUUACAAAGUUAAAUGAUAGCAGAAACGUUUGGGAAGACGUAGCAUAGAGGGUGAUACUCCCGUAAGUGAAAUUAUUUAACCUCUUGAUUGUAUCCUGAGUAGGGCGGGGCACGUGAAACCCUGUCUGAAUCUGCCGGGACCACCCGGUAAGGCUAAAUACUAACCAGACACCGAUAGUGAACUAGUA